AGUCUGUGAUGUGGGUAUUUCCUCAGCAUCAACUUGUAGCACUCCCAUGAUUCAUAUAGGGAUUCACCUUCAUAUUGUUUAAAAUUGGUGAUUCCUCACCUAAGCU
rfam:Gossypium hirsutum cultivar TM-1 chromosome 16, whole genome shotgun sequence